ensembl:lncRNA
AUUUUUCGUAUGGUGAAUUCUGGGGGGACGUGUGUAGUGAAUGUGACUGCAUAAUUCACCUUUGUUCUUGUUUUGUUGUACACGCAAUUGCGACUGUUCCGGGAUCACGGUCCCUUUAAAUGUUUUGUUAUGUUGUGACGUAGAGUCCCUUGCUUGUGAGGUUACAGGGCUGCGCCAUCUUGAGUGUUGUUAUGGUAAUAAUAAACGAGACACACGCUGCUGUUCUCAACUCGCGGAAUUGCCUUUCAUUACAAACGCAACUUCCACACUAUUACCAUUAAUGUAACAAAACCAAAAAGUACUUGUGGUCUAGGUGGCACCAUUGCUUACCAAUUCCUGCGUUGCAGAUCCACCACUGAGCUCCAUCCUACAGACCCCACUAAACCCCCGGGCGUUCCCUCUAAAAGUGACCCUAAUGGCUUCCACUUGGGUUCUUCACUGGUUCCAGCUAGGUGAUGUGGUGGAAGAUUUUGCACAGACAAUCGUUAAGUAAGAAACAAAGGCUCUGAGUCAAGUAUGUCUUUUCUCCGUUUAUUUCCUUGCAAUGGAAAAAGGGUCACAACAGCUACGUGGUCAGUAGACUGUCAACAACCUCCUUUUUUUCCCAACACAUCGAGGCAGUUCUUAUACCUAAAUUUAGAUAUCGGUGGCGUCAACAGAAACCUUUGACCAUCUUGUUGAGUAUCUACAGCCAGGGUACUGGGAACAUCUUAUCCAUGUAAGACACGUCAGUUCUUUGACCGUGUCCUUGCUCUCCCAACAUGCUAAAACAAAGGUGGUCAUAGACAUAACAAACACUUCAAUCUCUACAGCUAUGACGCUGGAAACAUCUAAUCCAAGAGGGAGACAUCAGUUCUUAUGUCAGGGCCUUUGUGACCUAAGCACUUGCAACUAAUACACUGGUUAUACAAAUGAAGCAUUUAAAAGGGUCACAUAUCAUUUUCCCAUUACAGUGACCUUAUUGAACUCAUCUCCCUGGUGUGAGGUCUCAACCCCAGCGUGGCGGCAGGAGGCCGCAAGGGGGCGCCGACGAACGCGUCCUCCGGAGCCAAUCACCGGAAUUCGGAACACCCACGAGAGAGGAGACCUAUAAGAGCAGGCCGACGCAGCGCGCAAAGUGUGAGGUAUUGCAAGUACGCUUCUCUGCUGAACCCUUUGUUUCGCUGCCCCUGAAUUCCCGUAGAACCAGUGAGCUUCCGUGUAUCGACCUUCCGCCUUCUCUCGACUACGAACCUGCCUACUCCCUGGAUCAGAUCCGUCUCUUGCCAUCCCGUGUCUCCGAACCACUGCCUGUCCCCGGAUUCCCCGUACUGCCUUUUCCCUUGAGACUACAGUUGCCUGUAGUCCCAAAUAAACAUUGAGAGCUCUGCUCUUGGGUCUCAGUCUGUCUCCUGAGUCCAUUCGUUACACCUGGUUAGCCAGCCACACCUCGGAGGAGUCAGGUAUCUGCAAAAGUGAGAGUCUACCACGAUCCCUGGGAGCAGGACGAGGUCUUGGUGACUUCUGCGCUUAUGAAAGUUCAAUCUUUUGUUUUGUUUCCUCUCAUUUGUUAAUUUUGUUUAACAAAUGGUUUAAACUUGGUAAAAUAAUGAGUUACAUUACAUUACAUGUCAUUUAGCUGAUACUUUUAUCCAAAGCGACUUACAAUAAGUGCAUUCAACCAUAGGGAUACAAACUCAGAAGAACAAGAAACAAGAAAGUGCAAUUUCAUCAAAUAAGCCAAUUUUAAAUUUGCUAUAGAUAAGUGGCGUUACAAGUAUAAUUUAAGUGCUAAAAUUUGUUAGUAUUUCAGUGGAGGUAGAGUCUUAAGAGGUGUAUCUUUAGUUUGGGGUGGAAGUUGUGAAGGCUCUCUGUGGUCCUGGUGUCUUCAGAGAGCUCGUUCCACCAUUUAGGAGCAGGACAGCAAAGAGUCGUUGUGGUGGCGGGGUGUGGUUAGCUCAGCUGCAGGGGGUAGAGCGGGGGAGUGGUUCAGGGGACGGCAGGAGAGUAAGGAGCACAGGUGGAAAUGAUCAGAACUGAUUGUGUGUCACUUGAAAAGCAGUGAGCAAGACCUGGAGAGAAAAAGACUCUGCAGCAGACGCUCAGGGGCAAGGCCGAGGAGCGGAGCAGAGCCGAGGAGGACAACCUCGCCAAACCUGCUCACUGCAAGGAAAUGAAAUAAAAGAUAUUGCUCCAAAGAAUCGUGUCUCCGUGCGUCCUUACGCGAACCCCAAAGGUGGUAGCUCAAACCUGCUACAGUCGUAAUCUAGUUGAGUGUUUUGCUCUCAGUGAGGAGGAACAAGCAGUUUAUUAGAUGCAGAGCCGAGAGUGCGGGUCGGGAUGUAGGGUUUGACCAUGUCCUGGAUGUAAGCUGGACCCGCUCCAUUCACAGCAUGGUACGAGAGCACAAUGUUUUCAACGGAUGCGGGCAGGGACCGGUAGCCAGUGAAGAGAGCGGAGGAGUGGAGUAGUGUGGGAGAAUUUAGGAAGAUUAAAGACCAGUCGAGCUGCUGCAUUGUGGAUGAGCUGCAGAGGUUGAAUGGCGGUAGCAGGGAGACCUGUGUGAUGAAAAACAAUAUGUAACAUAUUGCUCUCUGAAUUAAAAUGUCGCAACAGUUUUUGUGUUAAAGAGUUGAAACAUAAUAUUCCAUGUGAGAUGUGUGAUUAAGAGGCAUAUUUAACAAAUCAUAGCAAUAUGUUUUUCAUCAUUUUAGCUAAUUUCAGUAUUUUUAGGUCAGGAUUGCAAAGCGGUCUGAGGUACUGCGUUCAGGUUGAAGAAUUCACUUCAAAAGUGUGAUGAAAAACAAAUGUAAUCUGUGACAGCAUGAUAUUUUUUAUAAUUUCCACUAUUUAACAUAUUUCUCAGUCAGGAUGGCCGGUCUAAGGCGCUGCGUUCAAAUCCCACUUCUGACAAAAGGUUAAAACAAGUGUUUUAAUUUCUGUAAAGUCCAAAACAAGAGGUUGCGAGGGAAACUGUGAAAAAGGCAUUCAUGUAACAAAUAAAUGUCCACUUACGUGAAUGUGUCUGUCACAAGGGAGGACGCUGCAGGUAUCAGACAUGAUUUUUCUCGCUCUUUUGUAAAAAAGGAUGUGCAAUUCAAUGAUAUAUGAAAUGUAGGUUAUCCUGCUAUUUGUCAUAAUUUCAAUGUUUGAGGUAUUUUACAGUCAGGAUGGCCGAGUGGUCUAAGGCGCUGCGUUAAGGUCGCAGUCUCCCCUGGAGGCGUGGGUUCAAAUCCCACUUCUGACAGAAGGUUAAGACAAGUGUUUUAAUAUCUGUAAAGUCCAAAACAAGAGGUUGCGAGGGAAACCGUGAAAAAGGCAUUCAUGUAACAAAUAAAUGUCCAGUUACGUGAAUGUGUAUGUGCCACAAGGGAGGACGCUGCAGGUAUCAGACAUGAUAUUUCUCGCUCUUUUGUAAAAAAGGAUGUGCAAUUCAAUGAUAUAUGAAAUAUAGGUUAUCCUAGUAUUUGUCAUAAUUUCAGUGUUUGAGGUAUUUUACAGUCAGGAUGGCCGAGUGGUCUAAGGCGCUGCGUUAAGGUCGCAGUCUCCCCUGGAGGCGUGGGUUCAAAUCCCACUUCUGACAGAAGGUUAAGACAAGUGUUUUAAUAUCUGUAAAGUCCAAAACAAGAGGUUGCGAGGGAAACCGUGAAAAAGGCAUUCAUGUAACAAUAAAUGUCCACUUACGUGAAUGUGUAUGUGCCACAAGGGAGGACGCUGCAGGUAUCAGAGCUGAUAUUUCUCGCUCUUUUGUAAAAAAGGAUGUGCAAUUCAAUGAUAUAUGAAAUGUAGGAUAUCCUGCUAUUUGUCAUAAUUUCAAUGUUUGAGGUAUUUUACAGUCAGGAUGGCCGAGUGGUCUAAGGCGCUGCUUUAAGGUCGCAGUCUCCCCGGGAGGCGUGGGGUCAUAUCACACUUCUGACAGAAG